rnacentral:lncRNA from 1 species
GGAUGAACGUUCCUAUAAAAGUUCUGCAGCUUAACAUCGAGGCAUCGUUCAACAAGAUUGCGGGGAGCAAGACAAGCAUCAAGACCACCUCCGUGUUUGUGGAGUCAUACAACCAGAGGAUCUACCUCCGGGACCAUGCAAGGGCCAUCCAAACCCUCCCACUCAACUCUGAUUUCCUCAGUGACUUGCGCAACCUUCCCGAGCCACCCAGCUCCGACAGCGCUUGGGGGCCAUACCAAUCCUUCUUGAACAAGUGGGGAACGCACUACGUGGCCGAGAUGUUCCACGGCUCAUGGCUGCGCCAGUGGACCGUGGCCUCCUCCACGGCGACGUUCACCGAGCGCCAAAUGCAGGCCAAAGCCUGUGCCAAGCUCACCGGCCUCAAGGGAGUCCUCCCCAACAUGGAGGGCUGCGCGGGUAUCACUCUUGAGGAGAUGCGCGCCGCGGAGGGGAUCAACACGCAAGACACUCGAGAGGCCCGGGGUGGAUCCUCCGCCACCGUCUCGCAGCUGCUCUCGGGUGACAUAACCAACGAUCUCAUCCGGAAGUUCAUCGAGGAGGGAGCCACGAGCAAGGAAGCAGUACGCUACGGCUUCUUUCCAGUGUGGGUGCCCGUCUUGUCUCAGUACAUGUCGUCCGCGUCCAUGGAGUGGAGAGUGGCAACGGCGCUCCAGGCUUACUAUGAAGGCUUCCUCGCCUUCAAGUGUCCCCUGGACCAGCUCAACACACCCGCGACUGUCUUGCAGCAGUUUCGGAGGCUCAGCAAUGGCAAGUAUCAGUGCGUUCGCCAGUGCCAGGGCUGCAGGCUUGACAAGGAUUGCAACCUUAGUGGUGUAUCUGGAUGCUAUUGCUACGGUAACUCGUGCAUCAACGCUCUGGGACCGGAUGGCCGAGCUCAGGUUCAGCGGCAGAAGGAUAACCUCGACCGUAAUGUGCUGCCUAACAGGUCGUGUGAGUACAACUUUCCUCAGUGCCGCUGCAACACCAAAUCCAAAGAGGCGAAUUGUGGUGCUGACAACAUGAUUCCGAUAUGGGACCAGGGUCAAAACAGCAUUGCGAUCGAUUCAAACAUCCUUCUUUAUGACAAAGAAUGAGCCAAACAUGAUUGUGUGUUUGUUGUUUGUGAUUUGCAUUGCAUUACGUCUCUACAAUAACAUGCAUCUCUAUGUAUAUUUUCCAUGGUUGUGUGUGGUUUGUAUUUAACAGUCCUGUGUUUUCAAAAAGAAUAAAUAAAAAGAUGUUAAGUUAUACAAUACAAUUCGCAAGAGUCGGCAGCUGUGUACACUGUGUAGGUGAAAGAUGACUUCCAUGUACUAUAUGAGCUCCCCAAGACAUGCACAUCUCAGCUGGAAGACCUUUCUGUCCUGGCAUGAGUGGGAUCAAGUAACUCUUCUGAGCAGGAUCCAGCAGUUGCAAAGAGUGGCCUAAAUUGGAGCAGCUGCAAUCAAGACCUGGUGGUAAAUUGUGUAUACUUGAAUUAGACUUGGAAAAACAUUAUCACUAAAUUGUUUGUGAGUGCAUGAAAUAUGGAAAGGGAAUAUAAAAAUGUGCAUAUCAAUUAGCCCAAAAACCUUAGCUUAUAUACAGAAGCGAGUGGUCUGGAUUGAAACUAAUAUGACAGCUACCAAAAUCCCACUAUGCUAAUAUUAGUAUACGGCAUCGUAGCCAUACACUAAUGGAAGACUAUCAGGGUUCUCUUGUAAACGGGCUGGGAUCUAGAGGAACAUCAGGAGGAGGCAUCGGCGCAUCUGUAGACGGUAUUAACUGCUCCUGAUCCUUUUGUAUGAAGCAUUUCAACUGCUGCACAUGCACAAUCUCUAGAGGCUUGGCCUACUAGACGUCAUGCCGAACCUUAUAAACUUGUGGUGUAACUUGCCGCAACACCUGAUAUGGUCCUUUCCAUUGUGCAAGGAGCCCCUUAGAUAAACCACGUACCGUAAGAUGGGGAAAAUGGACUAACACUAAAUCAUCCACUUUGUACUCCGUAGGUAGACGAUGAUGGGAGUUAUACCACCGUUGUUGUCCCACUUGUACGUGGCCUAAGUAUUUGGUAGACUCUGCUCGGACAAGUGGAAAAAUGCUCGUCAAAUAUUGAUCCCAUGACCUAGCAUUUGUAGCUUGUGGCAAUCGUGAAGGUAAACCCAGCUCCGUUGGUAAUAUUGGAUCAUGAUCAUAUAGAAGUUUAUAUGGUGAAGCACCAAUAUAACUCUACACCCCAGUGAUAUAUAUAUACCAAAUAGAUGGCAAAUAAUUAUCCCAAUCCGAAUGCUAAAAAUUCACAUACUUCACAAUCAUCCCCUUGAAUGUCCGAAUGAGCCGUUCCACCAAGCUAUUUGAUUGUGGAUGGUAAACAAUGUGGUGUAUCCCCAACCAAAACAUCAAAACAUGAAAUGCCUCAGCCAUAAAUGUGGGACCAUUAUCCGAAAGAAUCCAUUCUGGAACACCACUCGAUUGAGGAGGAAGUAUCCAAUAUCAGUUGCAGAGACGCUAGUAAGAGCACCAACUUCCACCCAAUGAGUUAAAUAGUCAUAAACAAUAAUAACAUACUCAUUACCAAUAGUCUACCGUGAAAAAGAUCCCUUAAGAUCAAAUGCGACCAACUCAAAUGGACGGAAAACUACAAUUGACUCCAACCAUCCUUCCGCAACCCGAGGGGGAGUAUUACAAGUAUUACGAAUUAUUAAGAAUUCCUCCUCGCGGCUUUUUCACUCUGUCCUGCCACCAACGAAGAUUCAACUCCACCAUCGAUCAAGGAAUGAAGGCGUUCUCGAGGAUUCUAAAAGGAACUCACUCCUUUUCAACCUAGAUCCAGCUAAGUUCCUCGAAUGAUACAUAUUUCCGACAGCCUGCAACAUGAAAAAGAAGAAAAAUCUAAAGCCAUGCCAAGACCCACAAUUUUUGGGUGAGAAGAAUUAAGUACCUUGAAGAAAGCCUCCUUCUGGGGCACCUCAACAAGCGUGGAGCCUCCACUCCGUUCCAAAAACUCCGCAACAGUCAUGCGCUAAAUUUUGGGAUGCCUGACAAGGUCGCACCGUCGUCUAAAAGCUGCAACAAAAGGAAGCAACCGGAAGUUUGAUCAUCUGAGGAGCUGGUGUUGUGAGCUUCUCCAAAAGCUUUGGCUGUCAGGCCCAUCUAGAAUUUUACGUAGCGGUGCCAUUGAAGUGGCCAUUACCUGGAGCACGAGAGAGAGAGAGAGAGAGUUUCCACAAAGUUUUCCAACGAGCAGCCAGUCCAAGAGAGCGUUAGAUGGCAGCCAAGCUCACGUAAAAUCGAGAUUGCCAAGAGCGUAGAAAAUACGUUCAAGGAGGUCGCAAGUAGAGGCCAUCGCAUCUAAGAUCGAUCGAAGAAGAAAGGAUGAAAACCAGCGAUCGAAACGAGAAAAAAGGAGACCUUACAGUGCUUGACGAGCGAUGACACGGCUUGAGCGGCGGAGUCGCCAAAUGUGUUAGCACUGGAAGAGAGCUCGGACGAUCGGUUUAGCGAGAGGGAUCGCGAGACCGGUCAUUAAAAGCAUGCAAAGCUUGAUGCCUCGAUCAUCUGGAGCAAACGCGAGAAGUAUCGAAAGAGUUACUUCAACCUGCAAAAGCCAUUGAGCCAAAGCUCCCACUGUCGAGGCCAAAACGAGCAAAACACCUCCUGUCAAGCACCACUUUGUAUGAAUCGACUUUAAAGCUCAAGGCAAUGAGGAUUGCACAGCUUGCAAUGAAUUGCAGCCUGCAUGGAGCCAAGAACACAGUCAAGAACACACGAAUCUUUUGUCUUGUAACCAAAACUUACAGCGAGAAUGAUCAAUAUGCUUGAUAGAGCAGGACUCAAGGAUGCAAUCCCGUAUCUUCCCGAGACACUGCACACGAAAACCCAUUCCAAAGUUUGGCUGCAAACUGGACGAGAAAACUCGGUCAAAACUUCCACAGCCGAUUCCCAUCAAGCACGCGAGUGUUACACAAGGCGCCAUGAUUCUUAGCUAGAGGUUUUCUUCUUCUGAAGCUACCUGAAGUAUAGCCAUGCUUCUCGUGAUCAAUACACCGCUUAUUUUCAAUAACAAUCUGUUUGGAAAGCUUUUGAGAUUCUACGACAGAAGGAAUGCUCAAAACUUACCCUGGUGCGAUUGCAUCAAUAAGAAAAGCCGCUAAUGUGUACAUGAGAAUGCCAAGGCUCAAAGAUACCUGAUAAAAAAGAGGAUGGUGUAAACGUAGGGGAAAAAAACCGGUUUUCAUUUGAGAUCUUGCUAAAAGAGGAUGAAAAAAAUGACUUAAAGAAACUGGAUUGGUCCAUUGAUUCCUGUAAGAAUUAACGGUGAGUUUUGCUCGAUGCUUCAGCUAGAAACUGUAUACCUCCAAGGAUUAUCAGAAAAAAUCCUGGUACAAUGGACGCAUAUCUACAAACUUUCGAACUUAGCGAAGAGCACCAUGAACUCGAUGCAUACCCGAACGCAUCUACGACAGGACCAACACCAAAUACAGCAGCAAGAACAAGCUCACGAACUAAUCCCUGUGAAGGGGUGAAGAAAAAACUCAGAAAUCUUGCAAAGAAUGAAAAACAUUUUUAACACGAGAGGGAUACAACAAGACUUACCAAGACUUUGCUAAGAGCAGUAGCACUUCCAGUCACUCCCGCUAGCUUCAAAAACUUACCACCGCCUUCUGAGAAGAAAAUAAUGUUGAGAAGAAACGACAAAGAGAAAGAAGAAAAACCUUCGGAGUCAUUCUCGUUGAGCUCAAACAAAGACGUAUUGCGAGAGCAUACCUGAGCAAUUAGUUUGCCGGAAACUAGAAGCCCACUUGAGAGGGAGGCCCUCCUACCGAGAGACAAGGAGCCUGGAGGCGAAAAACAUGAAUCAUCACAGCUUCGUUUCUUCUUACCUGGGCACUGACGAACCGAUCCAUUCGAGAGAAAGACCCACAAGUCGCUCACACCUCAAGAUGACCUUUCUCUCUCUGUUUCUCUCUCAAGAGGGUUUUGGACAAUAAGCUAUAUCGAUCAUUAAGAGAGUUUACUGAUUUCGAGAGUUCUCAUCCCAUUCUUACUCGUGACCUUUUUUCAUUUUCUUAUUUCAAUAAAGAUAUCGCAAGCUUGUUUGUAACACAUAUACGGCUGUGACGUAGACUUUUCCACCACCCCUGUUCUGGUUUAGGGCUCCGUCAUGAAGUGGUCCGACACGAAGAUUUCUGACAACGUACACGUUUGUUUUAAAACGUCAGUUCGCGGUCUUGUUUUCAAAGAAGUAAAUGGGUUGGUAUACGUUCUGACACAACAUACCAUACGUCUUUCUUAUGUCUGUAAACAAUGAAAAUGUGCUUUGUUGAUCAUUCAUUAAGAGAGUUUACUGAUUGAAUAAGAUGUACGAGAUGGUGGCGCAGUUGGUCAACACUUAGCUCGUUAGAAAUCCUGAGGUCUGAGGUCGAGAGUUCGAGCAUCUCUAAGAAAGAAUUUCGGGAUUAUUAUUAUUAUUUUUACAUUUUUUCUUUUUUUGGUUUGCUUAACUGAUGGUAAUGGAUAUAUUUAGAAUAUGUUUGGAUAUUCAAAGAUAUUCUACCAUCUAACGGUCAUUAUUUAUUCAGAUUAAUGUAUUUAUAAUUUACAAACAUGUUUAUAAUUUAUAAACUUGCUUAAACACUUUCUAGUAUAUUAUUUUUAAUUCUACCAUCGAUAAUCUUGUAUUUAUAAAUUAUAAACAUGUUUAUAAUUAUAAACUUUUAUUUGAUCAAUUAAAUUAAUAAGUAAAAAUAACACUACUAUUAAACAAACUAAACAUUACUACAUGCAUUGCAUAACAAAUUAUUUUCAAUAAAGGUCUGUGUUGUUGCAGAAAGCUUGUUUGUAACACUUUAUAACUCAGACACUGUUCCACAGACUGGAUGGCUUUUUAGCACCCUUGUCUGAAAGCUUCAUAAUGGACAAAUCAAACUAUUCAAAGACAACUCUUUUGCACUCCACGGAUUGGUAUGGCAUCCUUAUCCUGAGCUGGCUUGCGCCAGUAUGAGCACAUGUAGUUUCUGACCCAUUGGUACCACAUGGUACCACAUGUUUUUCUUAUGUCUGCUCUGGAAUAUUAUUUCAGAAGUUAUAGAAACAACAUAUGGCAGCUUGAAAUCGUGGGCUGCUAUAAAACCCAGGGUAAAAUCUUCAAGCAGCACACAAGAAUGGCUUCUUCAGGAAUUUUCUUCUUUGUUCUUUUUGUUCUCUAUGUUUCUACAGGUAUCAUCUAUCGUCCUUUGAGUGCAUCUUUAAUGUCAUAUAAAUCUCUGUUUUGUGUGUGUAGCCGCUGCCCAAAACGUGCAUUUUGGUUAUGGAGUUUAUCUUCCCACCACGGAUCUGGGAUCUCCGUUGAGGACCCUGAGGCCUAUUUUCAACGAGAGAGCUAACGACUUCUUGCUGACCGAGAAAUAUACCUCUGUCACAAACAACCAUGCCCACACUAGUAACAACCAAGAGCUCUACAGAUCAGUAAGCUAUGCAACGGUACCAGUUCCUAAUCUGAUCGGUGGUUUGCAUUGUGAUCACAGUUUGGAGUUACGUUUGCGAUGAACGUUCCUAUAAAAGUUCUGCAGCUUAACAUCGAGGCAUCGUUCAACAAGAUUGCGGGGAGCAAGACAAGCGUCAAGACCACCUCCGUGUUUGUGGAGUCAUACAACCAGAGGAUCUACCUCCGGAACCAUGCAAGGACCGUCCAAACCCUCCCACUCAACUCUGAUUUCCUCAGUGACUUGCGCAACCUUCCCGAGCCACCCAACUCCGACAGCGCUUGGGGGCCAUACCGAUCCUUCUUGAACAAGUGGGGAACACACUACGUGUCCGAGACGUUCCACGGCUCAUGGCUGCGCCAGUGGACCGUGGCCUCCUCCACGGCGACGUUCACCCAGCGCCAAAUGCAGGCCAAAGCCUGUGCCAAGCUCACCGGCCUCAAGGGAGUCCUCCCCAACUUGGAGGGCUGCGCGGGGAUCACUCUUGACGACAUGCGCGCCGCGGAGAGGAUCGACACGCAAGACACUCGAGAGGCCCGGGGUGGAUCCUCCGCCACCGUCUCGCAGCUGCUCUCGGGUAACAUAACCAACGAUCUCAUCCGGAAGUUCAUCGAGGAGGGAGCCACGAGCAAGGAAGCAGUACGCUACGGCUUCGUUCCAGUGUGGGUGCCCGUCUUGUCUCAGUACAUGUCGUCCGCGUCCAAGGAGUGGAGAGUGGCGACGGCGCUCCAGGCUUACUAUGAAGGCUUCCUCGCCUUCAAGUGUCCCCUGGAGCGGCUCAACACACCCGCGACUGUCUUGCAGCAGUUUCGAAGGCACAGCAAUGGCAAGUAUCAGUGCGUUCGCCAGUGCCAGGGCUGCAGGCUUGACAAGGAUUGCAACCUUAGUGGUGCAUCUGGAUGCUACUGCUACGGUAACUCGUGCAUCAACGCUCUGGGACCGGAUGGCCGGGCUCAGGUUCAGCCGCAGAAGGAUAACCUCGACCGUAAUGUGCUGCCUAACAGGUCGUGUGAGUACAACUUUCCUCAGUGCCGCUGCAACACUAAAUCCAAAGAGCCGAACUGUGGUGCUGACAACAUGAUUCCGAUAUGGGACCAGGGUCAGAACAGCAUUGCGAUCGAUUCAGACAUCCUUCUUUAUGACGAAGAAUGAGCCAGACAUGAUUGUGUGUUUGUUGGUUGUGAUUUGCAUUGCAUUACGUCUCUACAAUAACAUGCAUCUCUAUGUAUAUUUUGCAUGGUUGUGUGUGGUUUGUAUUUAACAGUCCUGUGUUUUCAAAAAGAAUAAAUAAAAAGACGCAAUAUCGACAGCUGUGUACACUGUGUAGGUGAAGGAUGUCUUCCAUGUAUUAUAUGAGCUCCCCAAGACAUGCACACCUCAGCUGGAAGACCUGGGAUCAAGUAACUCUCCUGAGCGGGAUCCAGCAGUUGCAAAGAGUGGCCUAAAAUGGAGCGGCUACGAUUUGCUACUUGACCAGGUUCGUGUGACUGCUUUGGAAGCUAACUCAGCUCUGGUUUGUUUCUCAGUGAACACACGUACUUGGACAAGGUGCUACCUUCGAAGGAGUUUUGACAACGUCUUGAUAAGUCAUUGCCGUGCGUUCUCAACUGUAAGUUUUCUAAGCUCUUUACACUUGGUUUUUGUUUUUUCAGCGCUGUACAUGAGCCAAGCAGCUCUCUUACGACAUGGUCGCGCGCUAUACCAAUCAUUCGAGAAGGACCCGAAGCGCCAGAGCAUGGGGAUCGGGAGUUGAUGAGCUCCGACCAGAUUGAAGGAUCCAUUGACCUCUUCCUCUAGGUGCACGCACGGGUCAUGCUCUUCUUGGUCCUGUCUAUCAUGCCGUCCAGGAAUCCAUCGAUUUAGCUUGGCAUCAUGUUCUAAAGAGGAGAAUAUUGGCGAUCAUGGUGUGGAGGAGACCAUUGUGACACGAUCAAGGCUAAGAUUAGAAUUGCUUGCUCGCAAUUGGGAUUUUAGCUUGAAAUCGGGCCUUGUGUGGGGAGAACAACAAAAAGAAAAGCAUUUGCACUCACGAAAUGAGGAGACCACCGUCAUGCUUGUGAAGCUUGUCAUUUCAUUGCCUGCUCGAUGACAAAGUUUGCACCUGCGCAGCAUGUAUUUGCAGGUCCCGGCUGGUAAGCCAUCUUUCAAGUCAGUCCUGCUCUCAAGUCAAGUGUUUUAAACUGAAUCACAAAAGGAAAGUCUGCCUUAACCAGCUUCGAUUUACCUCCUGCUUGGAUCUCUCGCAGAUGAAGCAACUCCUUUUCAACCUUGAUCCAGCUAAGUUCCUCGGACAGCUGUGUUGAUACAUAUUUCCGACAGUCUGCAACAUGAAAAAGAAGAAAAUCUACACAAUUUUUGGGUGAGAAGAAUUAAGUACCUUGAAGAAAGCCUCCUUCUGGGGCACCAGCUUACAUCAACAAGCGUGGAGCCUCCACUCCGUUUCAAAAACUCCGCAACAGUCAUGCGCUAAAUUUUGGGAUGCCUGAGAAGGUUGCACCGUCGUCUAAAAGCUGCAACAAAAGGAAGCAACCGGAAGUUUGAUCAUCUGAGGAGCCGGUGUUGUGAGCUUCUCCAAAAGCUUUGGUUGUCAGGCCCAUCUAGAAUUUUACGUAGCGGUGCCAUUGAAGUGGCCAUUACCUGGAGCACGAGAGAGAGAGAGAGAGAGAGAGAGAGAGAGAGAGAGAGAGCGAGCCGGUGUUGUGAGCUUCUCCAAAAGCUUUGGUUGUCAGGCCCAUCUACGUAGCGGUGCCAUUGAAGUGGCCAUUACCUGGAGCACGAGAGAGAGAGAGAGAGAGAGAGAGAGAGAGAGUUUCCACAAAGUUUUCCAACGAGCAGCCAGUCCAAGAGAGCGUUAGAUGGCAGCCAAGCUCACGUAAAAUCGAGAUCGCCAAGAGCGUAGAAAAUACGUUCAAGGAGGUCGCAAGUAGAGGCCAUCGCAUCUAAGAUCGAUUGAAGAAGAAAGGAUGAAAACCAGCGAUCGAAACGAGAAAAAAGGAGAACUUACAGUGCUUGACGAGCAAUGAUACGGCUUGAGCGGCGGAGUCGCCAAAUGUGUAGCACUGGACGAGAGCUCGGACGAUCGGCUUAGCGAGAGGGAUCGCGAGACCGGUCAUUAAAAGCAUGCAAAGCUUGAUGCCUCGAUCAUCUUGAGCAAAGAUCUGAUUGAUCCAAAAGAAAAACUUAAACGCGAGAAGUAUCGAAAGAGUUACUUCAACCUGCAAAAGCCAUUGAGCCAAAGCUCCCACUGUCGAGGCCAAAACGAGCAAAACACCUCCUGUCAAGCACCACUUUGUAUGAAUCGACUUUAAAGCUCAAGGCAAUGAGGAUUGCAAAGCUUGCAAUGAAUUGCAGCCUGCAUGGAUCCAAGAACACAGUCAAGAACACACGAAUCUUUUGUCUUGUAACCAAAACUUACAGCGAGAAUGAUCGAUAUGCUUGAUAGAGCAGGACUCAAGGAUGCAAUCCCGUAUCUUCCCGAGACACUGCACACGAAACCCAUUCCAAAGUUUGGCUACAAACUGGACGUGAAAGCUCGGUCAAAACUUCCACAGCCGAUUCCCAUCAAGCACGCCAGUGUUACACAAGGCGCCAUGAUUCUCAGCUGGAUCAAGAGGAUGGUUUUUGCAACUUGAGAGUUUUUCUUCUUCUGAAGCUACCUGAAGUAUAGCCAUGCUUCUCGUGAUCAAUCCACUGCUUGUUUUCAAUAACAAUCUGUUUGGAAAGCUUUUCAGAUUCUACGACAGAAGGAAUGCCGAAAACUUACCCUGUUGUGAUUGCAUCAAUAAGAAAAGCCGCUAAUGUGUACAUGAGAAUGCCAAGGCUCAAAGGUAUCUGAUAAAAAAGAGGAUGGUGUAAGCGUAGGGGAAAAAAACCGGUUUUCAUUUGAGAUCUUGCUAAAAGAGGAUGAAAAAAAUGACUUCAAGAAACUCGAAACAUACCUUAAGGCCGAUACCAUUGCUAUGUGGAUUGGUCCAUUGAUUCCUGUAAGAAUUAACGGUGAAUUUUGCUCGAUGCUUCAGCUAGAAACUGUAUACCUCCAAGGAUUAUCAGAAAAAAUCCUGGUACAAUGGACGCAUAUCUACAAACUUUCGAACUUAGCGAAGAGCACCAUGAACUCGAUGCAUACCCGAACGCAUCUACGACAGGACCAACACCAAAUACAGCAGCAAGAACAAGCUCACGAACUAAUCCCUGUGAAGGGGUGAAGAAAAAACUCAGAAAUCUUGCAAAGAAUGAAAAACAUUUUUAACACGAGAGGGAUACAACAAGACUUACCAAGACUUUGCUAAGAGCAGUAGCACUUCCAGUCACUCCCGCUAGCUUCAAAAACUUACCACCGCCUUCUGAGAAGAAAAUAAUGUUGAGAAGAAACGACAAAGAGAAAGAAGAAAAACCUUCGGAGUCAUUCUCGUUGAGCUCAAACAAAGACGUAUUGCGAGAGCAUACCUGAGCAAUUAGUUUGCCGGAAACUAGAAGCCCACUUGAGAGGGAGGCCCUCCUACCGAGAGACAAGGAGCCUGGAGGCGAAAAACAUGAAUCAUCACAGCUUCGUUUCUUCUUACCUGGGCACUGACGAACCGAUCCAUUCGAGAGAAAGACCCACAAGUCGCUCACACCUCAAGAUGACCUUUCUCUCUCUGUUUCUCUCUCAAGAGGGUUUUGGACAUCAAUGCGGCAAUAAGCUAUGUCGAUCAUUAAGAGAGUUUACUGAUUUCGAGAGUUCUCAUCCCAUUCUUACUCGUGACCUUUUUUCAUUUUCUUAUUUCAAUAAAGAUAUCGCAAGCUUGUUUGUAACACAUAUACGGCUGUGACGUAGACUUUUCCACCACCCCUGUUCUGGUUUAGGGCUCCGUCAUGAAGUGGUCCGACACGAAGAUUUCUGACAACGUACCGCACGUUUGUUUUAAAACACAUUAAACCGGUUCGCAGUCUUGUUUUCAAAGAAGUAAAUGGGUUGGUAUAAGUUUUGACACAACGUACCACACGUCUUUCUUAUGUUUGUAAACAAUGAAAAUGUGCUUUGUCGAUCAUUCAUUAAGAGAGUUUAUAAGAUGUAAAAGAUGGUGGCGCAGUUGGUCAACUCUUAGCUCCUGAGGUUUGAGGUCGAGAGUUCGAGCAUCUCUAAGAAAGAAUUUCGGGAUUAUUAUUAUUAUUAUUGCAUUUUUUCUUUUUUUUUUGGUUUGCUUAACCAAAGAGGAUGGUAAUGGAUAUUUAGAAUAUGCUUGGAUAUUCAAAGAUAUUCUACCAUCUAACAGUAGUUAUUUAUUCAGAUUAAUCUUGUAGUUAUAAAUUACAAACAUGUUUAUAAUUAUAAACUUUUAUUUGAUCAAUUAAAUCAAUAAGUAGAAAUAACACUACUAUGUGAGUGCUUGGAAUAUAGAAAGGGAAUACAGAAAUGUGCAUAUCAAUUAGCCUAAAAACCCUAGCUUAUAUACAGGAGCGAGUGGUCCGGAUUGAAACUAAUCCGACGCCUACCAAAAUCCCACUACACUAAUAUUAGUAUACGGCAUCGUAGCCGUACACUUGGCCCUCACAUCAUCCCCCCCUCUCAGGAUAAUGGAAAACCAUCAGGGUUCUCUUGUAGACGGGCCGGGAUCUAGAGGAACAUCAGGAGGCAUUGGCGGAUCUGUAAAUGGUAUUAACUGCUUCUGAUCCCUUUGUAUGAAGCGUUUUAACCGCUAGACAUGCACAAUCUCUGGAGGAUCGGCCUGCUAGACGUCAUGCCGAACCUAAUAAACUUGUGGUCCAACUUGCCACAACACCCGAUACGGUCCUUUCCACUGUGCAAGGAACCCUUUAAAUAAACCACGUACCGUAAGAUGGGGAAAACAAACUAACACCAAAUCAUCCACUUUGUACUCCGUAGGUGGACGAUGAUGGGAGUUGUACCACCGUUGUUGUCCCACUUGUACGUGGCCUAAGUAUUUGGUAGACUCUGCUCGGACAAGUGGAAAAAUGCUCGUCAAAUAUUGAUCCCAUGACCUAGCAUUUGUAGCUUGUGGCAAUCGCGAAGGUAAACCCAGCUCCGUUGGUAAUAUUGGAUCAUGACCAUAUAAGAGUUUAUAUGGUGAAGCACCAACAGAACUCUGCACCCCAAUGACAUAUGCAUACCGAAGAGACGGCAAAUAACCAUCCCAAUCCAAAUGCUGAAAGUUCACAUACUUCGCAAUCAUCCCCUUGAACGUCUGAACGAGCCAUUCCACCAGACCGUCUGAUUGUGGAUGAUAAGCACUCGUGAAAGUGUGGCGAAUCCCCAACCGAGAUGUCAAAACAUGAAACGCCUCAGCCAUAAAAGCGGGACCAUUAUCCGAAAGAAUCCGCUCUGGACAAGAAUGUUGGAACACCACUCGAUUGAGGAGGAAGUAUCCAACAGCAGUUGCAGAGGCACUAGCAAGAGCACCAACUUCCACCCAACGAGUCAAAUAGUCAGAAGCAAUAAUAACAUACUCAUUGCCAGCAAUUGACCGUGGAGAAGGUCCCAUAAGAUCAAACGCCACCAAUUCAAACGGACGAGAAACUGCAAUUGACUCCAACCGUCCUUCCGCAGUCCGAGGGGGAGUAUUACGAGCUUGGCACCAAACACAACUACGCACAUACCGGAUAAUAUCAUGUCGCAUCUCCGGCCAAUAGAAAGACCUACGUAGCUUCUCGAUUACACAACGAUGUCCCAUAUGCCCACCUAGAACAGGAGAAUCAUGGUAGGCAUGGAGAAACCGCGGAAUAAAGAUAGAAGGCACCACCAGCCGUAAAUGAUCAUCAGGAUUUGUCCCCAUAAAACAAAGAAGGCCACCUUCAAGACGAUAUUGAGAAUGUAAAUGCCGGAAAGGUAAGUCAUCAGUAAGUGAUGUAGGAUUCUCAAACCCAUCUCGAAGCCUUCGAAUUCAUGGCUCAAUCNNNNNNNNNNNNNNNNNNNNNNNNNNNNNNNNNNNNNNNNNNNNNNNNNNNNNNNNNNNNNNNNNNNNNNNNNNNNNNNNNNNNNNNNNNNNNNNNNNNNNNNNNNNNNNNNNNNNNNNNNNNNNNACAACAGGCUCGUCAAAAACAUGAGAAGAGAAUGAAGACUGGCGACUGCAUGGAUUUGGCGACUGCAUGGAGCCAAGAACACAGUCAAGAACACACGAAUCUUUUGUCUUGUAACCAAAACUUACAGCGAGAAUGAUCGAUAUGUUUGAUAGAGCAGGACUCAAGGAUGCAAUCCCGUAUCUUCCCGAGACACUGCACACGAAAACCCAUUCCAAGUUUGGCUACAAACUGGACGAGAAAACUUCGUCAAAACUUCCACAGCCGAUUCCCAUCAAGCACGCGAGUGUUACACAAGGCGCCAUGAUUCUUAGCUAGAGGUUUUCUUCUUCUGAAGCUACCUGAAGUAUAGCCUUCUCGUGAUCAAUCCACCGCUUGUUUUCAAUAACAAUCUGUUUGGAAAGCUUUUGAGAUUCUACGACAGAAGGAAUGCUCAAAACUUACCCUGGUGCGAUUGCAUCAAUAAGAAAAGCCGCUAAUGUGUACAUGAGAAUGCCAAGGCCCAAAGAUAUCUGAUAAAAAGAGGAUGGUGUAAAGGUAGGGGAAAAAAACUGGUUUUCAUUUACCACAAACAUAGCAUGCGAAGUUCUUCCAAUAAGUUCUCGUUUUCUGUCUUCUUCAGCGAUCUUGCUAAAAGAGGAUGAAAAAAAUGACUGAAAGAAACUCGAAACAUACCUUAGGGCCGAUACCAUUGCUAUGUGGAUUGGUCCAUUGAUUCCUGUAAGAAUUAACGAUGAGUUUUGCUCGACGCUUCAGCUAGAAACUGUAUACCUCCAAGGAUUAUCAGAAAAAAUCCUGGUACAAUGGACGCAUAUCUACAAACUUUCGAACUUAGCAAAGAGAACCAUGAACUCGAUGUAUACCUGAACGCAUCUACGACAGGACCAACACCAAAUACAGCAGCAAGAACAAGCUCACGAACUAAUCCCUGGAAGGGGUGAAGAAAAAACUCAAAAGUCUUGCAAAGAAUGAAAAACAUUUUUAACACGAGAGGGAUACAACAAGACUUACCAAUACUUUGCUAAGAGCAGUAGCACUUCCAAUCACUCCCGAGAAGAAAAUAAUGUUGAGAAGAAACGAACAAAGAGAAAAGAAGAAAAACCUUUGGAGUCAUUGUCGUUGAGCUCAAACAAAGACGUAGCCCGAAUCCUUGCGAGAGUCUUCGUUUCUAGCAUAACUGAGCACUUAGUUUGCCGGAAACUAGAAGCCCACUUGAGAGGGAGGCCCUCCUACCGAGAGACAAGGAGGCGAAAAACAUGAAUCAUCACAGCUUCGUUUCUUCUUACCUGGGCACAUUCGAGAGAAAGACCCACAACUCAUCUCAAGAUGACCUCUCUCUCUCUCUCUCUCAAGAGGGUUUUGGACAUCAAUGCGGCAAUAAGCUAUGUUGAUCAUUAAGAGAGUUUACUGAUUAGAAAAAUUGUAAGGGAUGGUCAGCGCGUAGAAAUUCUGAGGUCGAGAGUUCCAUUUUUACUCGAGACCUUUUUUCAUUUUUUUUAUUUCAAUAAAGAUACCGCAAGCUUGUUUGUUAUAUAAGUUUUUAACUAUAUAAGUACUUCAUAACUCAGACACUGUUCCACGGCUGUGACGUCAUGUUAGAACUUUUCCCUGUUCUGAUUUAGGACCAUUUCUCGAUUUGUGCGUGUCAUCCUUGGGCCAUGCUAAUCUUCUUUGCCUUGUUCUGGUCUGGUGGGGUUGGGACAUUGACAGCGUACCACACUUUUUUUUUAAAACACUAGAGACAACGUCGGGGUUAAUCACACACGUUUUACUUAUGUCUGUAAACAACAUACGGCAGCUUGAAAUCCUGGGUUGCUAUAAAACCCAGGGUAAAAUCUUCAAGCAGCACACAAGAAUGGCUUCUUCAGGAAUUUUCUUCUUUGUUCUUUUUGUUCUCUAUGUUUCUACAGGUAUCAUCUAUCGUCCUUUGAGUGCAUCUUUGAUGUCAUAUAAAUCUCUGUUUUGUGUGUGUAGUCGCUGCCCAAAACGUGCAUUUUGGUUAUGGAGUUUAUCUUCCCACCACGGAUCUGGGAUCUCCGUUGAGGACCCUGAGGCCCAUUUUCAACGAGAGAGCUAACGAAUUCCUGCUGACCGAGAACUAUACCUCUGUCAAAAACAACCAUGCCCACACUAGUAACAACGAAGAGCUCUACAAAUCAGUAAGCCAUGCAACAGUGGCAGUUCCUAAUCUGAUCGGUUGAUCACAGUUUGGAGUUACGUUUGGGAUGAACGUUCCUAUAAAAGUUCUGCAGCUUAACAUCGAGGCAUCGUUCAACAAGAUUGCGGGGAGCAAGACAAGCAUCAGGACCACCUCCGUGUUUGUGGAGUCAUACAACCAGAGGAUCUACCUCCGGGACCAUAGAAGGGCCAUCCAAACCCUCCCACUCAACUCUGAUUUCCUCAGUGACUUGCGCAACCUUCCCGAGCCACCC